rnacentral:rRNA from 1 species
AUCGCAGCCGAUCUGUUGCAAUCUGUGGUCAAUCAAAUGCUGGCGUCUGGCACACUCUCUUUGCCUCUUCAGACCCAUGACAGGGAUUUUCCCAUCAUCCAAUAUGCGGAUGACACGAUCCUAUUUCUUGCGGCUAAGGAUGAUGAGCUUGUUGCCCUCAAGAAUAUGCUGCUUACAUUUCAACAAUCCACUGGUUUAAAGGUCAACUUUGCUAAAUCCUCAAUGAUCCCACUCAAUAUGACUACCGAGGAGGCUGACAGACUUGCUGCUAUUCUUGGUUGUAAAAUUGGCCAGCUUCCAUUUACUUAUCUUGGAUUGCCUUUGGGAACUAUGAGGCCAAGGAUCAUUGACCUCAUGCCCUUAGUUGACAGUCUUGAAAGGAGAUUAACUGCAAGCUCUUCUAUGCUGAAUCAAGGUUCUCGAUUGCAGCUUCUCACCUCUAUCCUGACCUCUCUGCCAAUAUACUUUCUGUGUAGCCUCAAUAUCCCAGCCGGGAUCAUUAAGCGACUGGACAGGAUCUUCAGGCAAUGCCUUUGGAGGGGUAAUAGUGAUGUUCCAAAACAGUCUCUGGCUGCUUGGGAGCUCGUUUGCAGGCCAAGAGAUAAGGGUGGUUUGGGCAUUAUUAAUCUGAACAUCCAGAACAAAGGACUGCUUCUCAAGCAUCUCCACAAAUUCUAUAACAAGGUUGAUGUUCCUUGGGUGACCCUGAUAUGGAAUAGCUACUAUGAUCAUGGGGUCCCACAGGCAACAGCUACUGCUGGAUCUUUCUGGUGGAGAGAUAUUCUGAAGCUGCAUGAGGCUUACACUGCUAUUGCAUCAGUACACAUCAACAUGGGUGAUUCUGCUCUUUUCUGGACUAAUUCCUGGCACAUUGGGGGCUCUACUAGACCCCUCUGUUGGAGAUUGCCAAGGUUGUUUUCUUUUGUCAAUAAUGACAGGAUCUCUGUGAGGGAAUUUCUUCAAUCCCAGGAUCUUUUCUCCAUGUUUUAUUUGCCUCUUUCUCGGGAAGCUGCUGCUGAGUUGCACAUACUGGAAAGUUGGAUCAUGCAGUUAGACAGAGACCCCACCUUACCUGAUGUUUGGAUAUGGCCUGGUCAAUCAGGAGGAUAUACUGCGAAAAGUUUUUACAGGAUCAUGCACUCCCACUUGCCUACAAUACAACCCUGCAAAUGGCUUUGGCAGAGUAAGUGCACCAUGAAGAUCAAGGUGUUCGGC